UAGGGAAUCUUCCACAAUGGGCGCAAGCCUGAUGGAGCAACACCGCGUGAGUGAAGAAUGGUUUCGGCUCGUAAAGCUCUGUUGUUGGAGAAGAACGUGCGUGAGAGUAACUGUUCACGNAGUGACGGUAACCAACCAGAAAGUAACGGCUAACUACGGGCCAGUCGCCGCGGUAAUACGUAGGUGGCAAGCGUUAUCCGGAUUUAUUGGGCGUAAAGCGAGCGCAGGCGGUUGCUUAGGUCUGAUGUGAAAGCCUUCGGCUUAACCGAAGAAGUGCAUCGGAAACCGGGCGACUUGAGUGCAGAAGAGGACAGUGGAACUCCAUGUGUAGCGGUGGAAUGCGUAGAUAUAUGGAAGAACACCAGUGGCGAAGGCGGCUGUCUGGUCUGCAACUGACGCUGAGGCUCGAAAGCAUGGGUAGCGAACAGG
rnacentral:rRNA from 1 species